rnacentral:rRNA from 1 species
UAACAAGGUUUCCGUAGGUGAACCUGCGGAAGGAUCAUG